GCCGUGGUUCAGUGGUAGAGCAUCUGCUUGGCGCAUGGAAGGUCCCAGGUUCAAUACUUGGCAUCUCCA
rnacentral:tRNA from 1 species